GUGGGGAAUAUUGCGCAAUGGGCGAAAGCCUGACGCAGCGACGCCGCGUGAGGGAUGAAGGUUUUCGGAUCGUAAACCUCUGUCAGAAGGGAAGAAACUACGUUGUGCUAAUCAGCAGCGUACUGACGGUACCUUCAAAGGAAGCACCGGCUAACUCCGUGCCAGCAGCCGCGGUAAUACGGAGGGUGCAAGCGUUAAUCGGAAUUACUGGGCGUAAAGCGCACGUAGGCUGUAGUGUAAGUCAGGGGUGAAAUCCCACGGCUCAACCGUGGAACUGCCUUUGAUACUGCACAACUUGAAUCCGGGAGAGGGUGGCGGAAUUCCAGGUGUAGGAGUGAAAUCCGUAGAUAUCUGGAGGAACAUCAGUGGCGAAGGCGGCCACCUGGACCGGUAUUGACGCUGAGGUGCGAAAGCGUGGGGAGCAAACAUGAUUAGAUACCCGUGUAGUCC
rnacentral:rRNA from 1 species